AGUAUUUGUGUGAGAUUUUGCCGAACUUGUGAUCAAAAGCUUAAAGGCAAGUGCAAAAAUAAAUCCUCUUUGGCAAUUCAGAAUUCAGUACUCAGCAUGAGUUUUACAUGCAUAAGACAGAUGAUC